UAUUUAAGCUGUUACAAGAAGAAGAUAUUGCCUAAAGAUGUGUUCCUUGUGAAAUUAUUCUUCAAAAGCUAAGGAUAAAUGAAGAUUUCCUCAGAGAAACAAAAACUUGGGUAUGCUGAUGCCACUAUGUCUGUCUUGCAAGAAAUGUCAAAUGACAUUAUUCAGGGAAAAAGAAAAAUAAGAGAGAUCAAGUAAUCUGAAUCUAUAUGAAGAAAAGCAAGGCCCUGGAAAAGGAGUCAUGGAAGGGCCCACACUUUUUCUUUGAGUGCAUACUUUUAAAUUUCUGCCCAAUUUUUAUGGUUCUGCCAAAAAGUACACCUCCAAACCAAGACAUCUAAUCCAGCACUUUCGGCUAUUGGCCAUCGCUUAUGAAAGGAGACAAGAUUGAAAACGCCCAUGGACUCCAGGCCUGCCCCUGUCUGCUCAGCUGAUAAAGGAACCCUCGAGACCACCACAGGACUGAGGAGAGUGAUACCCAGAUGCCGCCUCCUCUUCCUGGCAGCCAGCUGACUGGCAAGAAAGUGGACAACCCUGCGAGGAAUCCAUCUAAAGUGCAGCCCCCCAGGACACCGGCCUCAAGAGCAUCUUACCUGGGAAUAAAAUGAG